rnacentral:rRNA from 1 species
CAGCCCUAAACGAUGCGCGUUAGGUGUAUCGGUGACCACGAGUCACCGAGGUGCCGAAGGGAAACCGUGAAACGUGCCGCCUGGGAAGUACGGUCGCAAGGCUGAAACUUAAAGGAAUUGGCGGGGGAGGCACCACAAGAGGUGGAGCCUGCGGUUUAAUUUGGACUCAACGCCGGGAAGCUCACCGGAUAAGACAGCGGAAUGAUUGCCGGGCUGAAGACCCUGCAUGGCCAGCUGAGAGGUGGUGCAUGGCGUCAGUGACU